rnacentral:rRNA from 1 species
AACGAACGCUGGCGGCAUGCCUAACACAUGCAAGUCGAACGCGUGUAGCAAUACACGAGUGGCGGACGGGUGAGUAACGCGUGGGAACCUGCCCAAUGGUAGGGAAUAACUGCGGGAAACUGCAGCUAAUACCCUAUGCUCCCUACGGGGGAAAGAUUUAUCGCCAAUUGGAGGGGCCCGCGUCGGAUUAGCUAGUUGGCGGGUAACGGCCCACCAAGGCUACGAUCCGUAGCUGGUCUGAGAGGAUGAUCAGCCAC